GAUGUGACUGCAACGUCUUUCACUCCUUUGACUUGCAGGGUUGAUUUGACUGGUCUGAUUGACCAGGUGGGUGUCCCCUUCCUCAUUCACUACUCCUUGGCCAAAGAUAUGUGAUAGCUACACUUCUCUGCUAGAACCUCCAAACUCCCAUCAGCCAAAAUCAACAUGACCAAUGGUCAGGGAUGAUGUUAGUUGGAGCCGCAGUUUAGUCACCUGUAGUCUACAUUAAAUUUAGUUGUAUCUCAUGGUGUGCAGUU